CCGCGCCGCCUGUAGAAAACUCGAUGUUGCAGGCGCGGCGGUCCAACUGCUAAGAGCCGAAGCUGCUGGGCUGGGAAAUGGUUGCAGUCAAGAGCGUCGGCACAGGUUCUGCAGAAAGUCGGGGUUAGAAAGGCUGCUCGGAGAUGCCCCAGCGCUGGAAACAGUCUGGCACCUCGCUCCACAGCCGGAUUCCUGUAGCUUUUGACCCCGCCUCCACCUUUAGAGCGCUAGUGUUCUCUGGACCCAGAGUUUUGCCACAGCCUACAACCCGCUUGACAACAGGCCGACCCUUCCCCAUCUUUCCUACUAGCGCCCCAGCCGCUCUGGCUCUGGGGCUGGUUAAGUUUGCAUGACUGUAUCUCUGCUGGUAAACCACAAACCAUGAAGUAAAGGGUCCUGCAUCAGCGCUGGUCUCUGUGA
ensembl:antisense Gm17226 predicted gene 17226